rnacentral:rRNA from 1 species
UACGUAGGUGGCAAGCGUUAUCCGGAAUUACUGGGCGUAAAGCGCACGCAGGCGGCUAGUCAAGUUCGACGUGAAAGCUCCCGGCUUAACUGGGAGAGGUCGUUGAAAACUGGUUAGCUUGAGGCAAUGAGAGGGGUGUAGAAUUCCCGGUGUAGUGGUGGAAUGCGUAGAUAUCGGGAGGAAUACCAGUGGCGAAAGCGGCACCCUAGCGUUGUUCUGACGCUCAUGUGCGAAAGCGUGGGGAGCGAAC